CUGAUUGGUUGCUAUGGGCAACUCAGCAACUUUUCCUCUGUACAGCUUUUGAUAAAUCUCCCCCAUAGUGAGAGAGAAGAUGAACCCCUUCCUGGACUCCCUGAUCCUACAUUAAGUGACUGCAGCCCCCCCUAUGAGGAAGAAUCUAGACAUGUCACCAGUGAUGAACCAUUACUCCUUUCGAUCUUUCAUUCCUGUAAAGCAAAUCAUUUACCCAAUACCUCCGUACAUGAGCAUUAGAAGGGAUGGGAUUGAAGUGUUCAAGCUGCCAGUGUCAAGGCGCAGAUUGAUGGAUAUGAUCAAAAAAUUUGAUCCAAAUGAUAUCACGUACAUCGAUGAAAGCAGUUACACACGUUUCUCAAAAGUAGACAACACCUCCAUUCGAGAUCAUUUGAAUAAGUAUUUUGUCAUAAAUAAUGACACUGUGUGGGCAAAGCAUUUGGCAGGUGAAAAUGAACAGCUCAAAGCACAAUUUAAGAUUCAAGUACACGUCAAAUGGAACCCAGCAAAGCCUCCCAUUACUCUACAAGUCCAAAACCAGGACCUGUAUCUCUCAUAUGAUCCUAAUGCAGAAAGACAGCUAAAAUUGUUGCCUUUAGGACAGAGAGCUCUUGACUUCACAAACCCAGACACCAAGCGUUUUUUCUUCUACAUUACUCCAGUCGCCAACAGAAAAUAUUCAUUUGAGCCAGUGAUGGCAUCGGGCUCUCUCCUCAGCACUUCCAAUGACAGCACCAGCCGGGUAACUGUGGAACCCGCAUCUAACACCUACUACACAGACUUUGCAUUUGAUGCAGCUUUUAAUAUGGGUGUUAUGAAUAGGCCCAGCUUUGUAGGACCUGACAUAGAGAAAACAUCCGAAGAUGAUACCACGUUUUACAGUAACCAAGACAAAUUAUUCCAGGACAGAUACCAAUCCAUUCUAGCACAAGAGGAUUAUUUAAUGGAUGUAACUUCCCUGGCACUGAAGAGUCCAUACCAAUGGUUUAGACAACACAAUAACUAUCAAAGUAGUUACCUAGGACGGCAAUACAUGUGCAAGUGAAGUGACGAUACCAGCUGUCCAUAGAAAGGAAACAAGUCUUUAGCCAACAAAUACCAAGGAAUAAUUUACUUCAACCCAUGUGAACAAUGUGCCCAUUUCAAGGGUGGCAAUAGAAAUAAGGAACUUUUUAUACACCCCCCUCCUGCUGUCCAACACUAAUAUUCUUCAAAGUACGACCAUUUUGAAGCUGAACAUUUCAGAAGAUCAAGCUUUUCAAGAAUUUCAAACAUUAAAAAACCUAAAAGAACCUUCUACACAAAAUAACAUUGAAAUUGUAAGCAUCAAGGACAGGAACAACAAGGUUUUAAUGUAUGAUGCAACCUCCAAAAAGAUCUUUGCAAAGCCACUAAAAGGUGAAAAUGUUAAAUACAGGGCCAUCUUUGAAAUAGUUUACUAUAUUCCAAUGAAGGUAUUACAUCCUGAAAUUGCAACCACCUUGAAAAUCCGCAAUACAAAUCUCUACCUCUCCUGUAGACCGGAAGGUGAACUGAUAGCACAGGAGAAUGCUAAAUUUGAUGGAAAAAAUUUUGAAAUGGACGACACUAACAAACAAUUCUUCUUCAUCAGAAAACAAAAAGGGAGCUAUAUUACAUUUGAGUCAGCCAUGUAUCCAGGGCACUAUAUCAGUACCAUGGAUGUGGAUGACAUGCCUGUGACGGUAACAAAUGAUAAUCGAGGAAUCCAGGAAUUUGUUGUGGACGUUGUAUCAACAAUGACAAAUCAAGCAAUGUCUGAUACAACCACUAGCAUAUAUGAUCCCUAUGACAGGUUUUGCUUCCAAGCAAAGGUGUAUCCUUAUUUAGUGCACAGUCCUUAUUCAUAUCUUUAAAUGGGCACUAUCAUUAAGACUAAUUUUUGCUAUUGAACCCCUUAUGGUAAAUA